rnacentral:rRNA from 1 species
UCCAGGAUGAACGCUAGCGGGAGGCCUAACACAUGCAAGCCGAGCGGUAGAGAUUCUUCGGAAUCUUGAGAGCGGCGUACGGGUGCGGAACACGUGUGCAACCUACCUUUAUCAGGGGGAUAGCCUUUCGAAAGGAAGAUUAAUACCCCAUAAUAUAUUGAAUGGCAUCAUUUAAUAUUGAAAACUCCGGUGGAUAGAGAUGGGCACGCGCAAGAUUAGAUAGUUGGUAGGGUAACGGCCUACCAAGUCAGUGAUCUUAGGGGGCCUGAGAGGGUGAUCCCCCCCACUGGUACUGAGACACGGACCAGACUCCUACGGGAGGCAGCAGUGAGGAAUAUUGGACAAUGGGUGAGAGCCUGAUCCAGCCAUCCCGCGUGAAGGACGACGGCCCUAUGGGUUGUAAACUUCUUUUGUAUAGGGAUAAACCUACUCUCGUGAGAGUAGCUGAAGGUACUAUACGAAUAAGCACCGGCUAACUCCGUGCCAGCAGCCGCGGUAAUACGGAGGGUGCAAGCGUUAUCCGGAUUUAUUGGGUUUAAAGGGUCCGUAGGCGGAUCUGUAAGUCAGUGGUGAAAUCUCAUAGCUUAACUAUGAAACUGCCAUUGAUACUGCAGGUCUUGAGUAAAGUAGAAGUGGCUGGAAUAAGUAGUGUAGCGGUGAAAUGCAUAGAUAUUACUUAGAACACCAAUUGCGAAGGCAGGUCACUAUGUUUUAACUGACGCUGAUGGACGAAAGCGUGGGGAGCGAACAGGAUUAGAUACCCUGGUAGUCCACGCCGUAAACGAUGCUAACUCGUUUUUGGGUUUUCGGAUUCAGAGACUAAGCGAAAGUGAUAAGUUAGCCACCUGGGGAGUACGUUCGCAAGAAUGAAACUCAAAGGAAUUGACGGGGGCCCGCACAAGCGGUGGAUUAUGUGGUUUAAUUCGAUGAUACGCGAGGAACCUUACCAAGGCUUAAAUGGGAAUUGACAGGUUUAGAAAUAGACUUUUCUUCGGACAAUUUUCAAGGUGCUGCAUGGUUGUCGUCAGCUCGUGCCGUGAGGUGUUAGGUUAAGUCCUGCAACGAGCGCAACCCCUGUCACUAGUUGCCAUCAUUCAGUUGGGGACUCUAGUGAGACUGCCUACGCAAGUAGAGAGGAAGGUGGGGAUGACGUCAAAUCAUCACGGCCCUUACGCCUUGGGCCACACACGUAAUACAAUGGCCAGUACAGAGGGCAGCUACCAGGCGACUGGAUGCGAAUCUCGAAAGCUGGUCUCAGUUCGGAUUGGAGUCUGCAACUCGACUCUAUGAAGCUGGAAUCGCUAGUAAUCNGCAUAUCAGCCAUGAUGCGGUGAAUACGUUCCCGGGCCUUGUACACACCGCCCGUCAAGCCAUGGAAGUUUGGGGUACCUGAAGUCGGUGACCGUAACAGGAGCUGCAUAGGGUAAAAC